AAUGAACGCUGGCGGCGUGCUUAACACAUGCAAGUCGUACGAGAAACCCCGGCUUGCCGGGGGAGUAAAGUGGCGCGCGGGUGAGUAACGCGUGGGUGAUCUACCCUCGAAUUGGGGAUAACACACCAAAAGGUGUGCUAAUACCGAAUAAGACCACGACCUCCACGGGGGUUGCGGUCAAAGAUGGCCUCUGCUUGCAAGCUGUCGUUUGAGGAUGAGCCCGCGUACCAUUAGCUUGUUGGUGGGGUAAUGGCCUACCAAGGCAACGAUGGUUAGCUGGUCUGAGAGGAUGGCCAGCCACACUGGAACUGGAACACGGUCCAGACUCCUACGGGAGGCAGCAGUGAGGAAUUUUGCGCAAUGGGGGAAACCCUGACGCAGCAACGCCGCGUGAGUGAAGAAGGCCUUCGGGUUGUAAAGCUCUGUCAAGUGGGAAGAACCUUUUUCGGCCGAAUACGCCGAGAAACUGACGGUACCGCUGAAGGAAGCACCGGCUAACUCCGUGCCAGCAGCCGCCGCAG
rnacentral:rRNA from 1 species